AUUUAUAUAAUAUAUUUAGUAUAUUUGACUUCCAAUCAAAAAGAUUAAUUAACUAUAAUUAAUAUAAAUA
rnacentral:tRNA from 1 species